CCUACGGGAGGCAGCAGUGGGGAAUUUUGGACAAUGGGCGCAAGCCUGAUCCAGCAAUGCCGCGUGAGUGAAGAAGGCCUUCGGGUUGUAAAGCUCUUUUGUCAGGGAAGAAACGGCAGGGGCUAAUAUCCUUUGCUAAUGACGGUACCUGAAGAAUAAGCACCGGCUAACUACGUGCCAGCAGCCGCGGUAAU
rnacentral:rRNA from 1 species